CUUGCCUUGUGAUUUAGACACAAACAUAGGUACCAACAUAGCUAUAGAGCAACAAUUGGAGCUGAAACCACAUUUGACUAGUAAUUGCUUAUUCUGUGUAGGUGUGAAAUAGCUGCAGAGUUCUCAGCUUAGAGGGUUCAGGGAAUAUACUGUGUUUCAGAAACAUUAUUCUUUUGGGUCUUCAAAGUCCAACUGCAUCCCAGUUUACAGUUUAUGAGAAACUUGAAAAUACUGGUACUAAAUAGGGAAUUUAUCCAUAACUACAUAACAGAAGGCACUCCAUUAGACACAAAUACUGCUUUUCCCUCUGCUAUAUCUACUGUAUUUGUCUCCUGAACAAUUAAACCUAACAAGAUCAGUGAAUCAGUACUAGCAGGUCAGAACAGGAUGGUUUGUUUAGUUUUCUGGUAGGUGAUGAAGUGCUCUGUGUGUGUGAGGGAGGAACUUGGUUUUUUUCCCUCUGAGGGUGGUGGUGGUGGUGAAGUAUAUAAAGACAUAGCUGAUACCAGAAAUGCAAGUCAGGGCACAAUUAGUAAUAUAAUUGCACCAUAGUAGCAAUAAUUAUUAUAAUUACUUUUAUUUACAUAAAUUUAAUUCUGUACUAAAUCCUGUAAUUAAUGUUAUGGAGACAUUGUGAUCUGUGGCUUGUGAAGUGAACGAUGAUUCAAAUAGAGUUUUCCCCUUGCAGGGUGAACAGUAACUUCCUUUUUGAGGCUAAGAAAUGUCAUGGUUUUACACUUUAAAUUACAACAAUCAAUUUCUUGAAGAGACUCAGCCAAGUCUAGGAGCAUGUGGAAGGCACCACCUCCUCUGGGCACUGUUCGGUAUUCACCAAGAGCAAAGAAGAGAGAAGUCUGCUCAACUGUAUCUAGAGACUAACUGAUUGCUGCUUGGAGUCAUAACAUAGCACCCGACAAUAACAGGCUCAAGCCAGAGUCUGAAAGGUGAAGUCCCCAGCAGUGGGUACAGGGACAGGAAGAUGAAAUGGCAGUAUGGAAAGGGAAUGGCACAGCACCUACUGCUUCUGUUGAGGGUGGAAUUACAGAGGAGUUGCAGCUCUUUACUAGAGGCUGCCAGGUAGUGGGACUUGGAACAACUAGUGAGAAACUAAAUAAUGAAGAGAAGCAAAGGCUUGGGGGCUAGAAGUGGUGUUGCUGUUUAGAGGACAGGAAGCUCUUCUUAAGGAAUAAUGAGCUGGAGGAUUUGGGGGCAAGUAUACUGAGAAAAAAGGGUUGGGUAAUGCGGGGGAUGGAUGAUGUCUUGGGAGAUGAAAACCUGGAAAACUGCUGAUACUUUAUCUUGGCAGUCUGUCAUGCCUAUCCUUUGAUUUCUAGUAACCCCACACUGAUUUGGAGCAUAUGCCAUAAAGAAUUGGAAGAAAAUAGCAUACAAGAUCCCCUACAGUGUGGGGAAAACAUGGCCUGGGCACAUGAGGGAUUUUCUAAGUUGGAAUAUGUCACUGAGGUGGGAUGACAAAUAUAUGCUGUAGUAUGUGCUGCAAUGUGACCAAUGCAUUGACAAAAGAGGCUCCCACUGGUGUGGACAGCAAGCAUGUGCUGAGGCAGUGCCCCAGCCCAGGUGGUGUGCUUGGAGCCAUUAGCUCUAAUAAUUAACUUUACAACUUCUCUCAGCUGGGUCCAGGUGGCUAACAGGCCUGAGGGAGGAUUCGCAGGGCUAGGAAACAACUUGCUUUAAAAACUUCAAAUAUAUGAACCUGAUGAAGAUAUGCCAUCAACAGAUUGAAUAAGCACUUUAAGGGUGUUUAUAACAACAGAUGGUUUCUUUAGGGUUUUACUGGCUUCUUGCUGCUACUCAUACUUCUGCUGGGACUAAGCACGAGUCAAAGACUGCUACCUGAAGGCUUUUGAGGAAACUGCCUGGCUUUCAAAAGGGAGUGACUGAAGUCUGCAUCACACUAGGAAAUCAUGGAGAGGAGGUUGACCUGCUUUGGACUUCUAUGUAGAUUUGAGCUAACAAAGAGGGUGAACAUCCAGCAAGGCCAUAUGGCACCCUCAGUGGUGGCAGGCUGCAACUGAAUGGUGACUUACCCUAGAGGAGAGUGGAUAACCUUUGAGCACUGAUGACCCACUGUCAAACACUAGGUGUGCUUGCUGCCUGGAAGAAUAACACAGCCUUAGGAGAGCUGCGAGGAGGUUAAAAAGGAGGAAAAGAAGAGCACGUGUUGGUUGGGAGGGCUUAUGAAAAUUCCCACUAAGCAAAUGCUUCAGUGAUGAAAAAGAGGAGAGGUGCUCCCUCACUGGGGCAAAGGAAUCACUGCCUCUCCUUUGCCAGCACAGAGAGUACUGGGAUCCUGCCUUGAGGUCUGCGAGGACUGACAUCCCUCUGAAAAGUCCCUUCAUCUCCUCUGCUACAGAUACAAGCAACAAACUUCAGAAAAGAGAGCAGUUGGCCCAGGUGAGAGAUUCCAAGUUCCUGAAGCACAAUGAUGCUCAAAUGGCCAUUUCACAGCAGGAUGUGCUGGAGCCUGAAUUAGGAUUUGGCUUAGAGAUGUGUGGGAUGCCAGGGCGAGGAAACUGAGGUGCAGCCAGCCUACGAAUCUCACUGUCCUAAACUCAUCUGAAGGAAAGGAAACUGAAGAAGAAAAAUCUAACUGACUUUUGGAGCUGUUCAGCACAGACUGGUCUUGCAGAGAUCAAUGAACUGAAGAAAUCUGGGGCCUAAGAAAACCAAGGAUCAGAAAACUUGUUAAAGUUCUCAAUGAGAAGAUUCGCAGGCAUCUACAGAUCUAGAAAUCAAUAUCUGGAAGAAGAAAGUCUGUGGAGUAUGCCUUUACUGCAGUGGAUGAUCUUGAUGUACAGUGUCUCACAGAAGUGGGUCUGUAGCAACAGAUAGUGAAGUUGUCCUUGGAUAUGAAGCGUAAGUUCUUCAGUGUAAGUACCUACUGAUGCUAACAGCUACAAAAUAAAUGCUUUCAGUUGAGUUCCCCGUGGAAAAAGCUUUUGACCUUUCCACAUCAGGCCACCCACCUCCAAGUCUUGCCAAAGUUCCCAAGACUGGAACAUAUGCAAAGGCUGAAUUGCUCAUUUGCCCUGUGUGUGUAUUUGUCACCGAGGGACUACUAAGCACCUGACAUGUUUCCCAACACCUACCUUCACUUAAAACUAUUAUGUAAGUUGACACUGAAAUAAUAAUAAUAAUUAAAAAUUAAAGCUUAGCAUUUGCUUAAUGCAGUACUGGUUUUCUGAAGUCCAUCUGAGUUGUAGCUUGUUUUCUGUGACCUCUAUCUUGCUCAUUACCCAUAAUGGAAUAGUGACAGCUGCUACUCAGUUCUUGCUGCAAUGCUGAGUGGACAAAAGAGUGUAUCAGUCGUUCCUGGUCUUGAUGAGGAAUCUUACACUAUACUAGCUUUAUCCCAAAAGACCAACUUCACGGUUCUACAGAGAUUAACUCUAAGGGGAAAACUAACUAUAAGCAAUUCAAGCACUCUUAUGUAGGUUCUGCAAUCUUGUGCUUAUUUUUAGAUGCUGGAUGACUAAAUCUGUGGGAUGUGGCAUAUAAGGUGCCAUAAUGUAACUGCAAUAGAAGGCAGAUUUUGAAAUCUCAUUUUCAGAAACAGCUAAAUGAGUUUCAUGUAGGUAAUGCAAGCGUCCAAAGAUGUAGAUAGGCAUCAUGUAGGUUUUGUUAAAAAUCCUAUGAGCUACAAAGUAUGCACAAGGAACGCUGCAUUGUCUUUAAGACUUUAAAGGAAAUAUGUCUAGUCAUGCUUACAUAAAUGUUGCCUUAAGCUGCUGCCAUUCGUUCUGCUAGUGGACAUGUACAAACCCAGAAGGCUCUCAAGCUUUAUCUCCUCUUUAAGGGUACAGGCAAGGAAUCAGUUACCCAGAGCAAGCUGAGGCCUAACCAUAUUUGUAUGCUCGUGCUCAUUUUUUGGUGGUGGUUGUUCUGUUGGCUAACAUCUUACUUCCCUUCUUAAAAAAAAGAUAUUAGUGGUGUUUACGGGCAAGACCAUAGCUAUAUUAUAUAGUAAUGAGAGAAAUCACAGUCUGUGCCUGCACAUUCUGCAAAUGAACAUUCUAUAUGCUUAGUCCUUAUUUAGUUGUUCUUAAAGUAUGUGUUUACAGAUAUUUCACUCUAAGAGUGACAGAGCUUUUUGCUUUGCAGUUGACUGGCUUUUUGAGGGUGUUAUUCAGCCCUAUAUUAAACUGUUCCAAAAUGAGACAUGAACUUCAAGAUACCAUCAAAUGGUAUAAUGGAGGACUGAACUGAAUGCCGCUCCCAUUAAUAACUUUCAUUAUGUGGAAGCAAGAUCAAACUUAUCAAGAAACUAAAAAUUAUAUUCCAUCCUAA